GAUUUCUGGCGAACCGUUGCGGCCCGUGCCCUUCUCGGGCGUGUGCGCCGUGUCGUGUUUGUCAUCCUUCCAGAGAGCUGCGUCUACCAUUCAUUUGGCCGGACGUACGCGAUCUGGAUCGAUUACUUUGAAAAAAUUAGAGUGUUUAAAGCAGGCUUAUGCCUUGAAUACAUUAGCAUGGAAUAAUAAUUUAGGACUUCGGUUCUAUUUUGUUGGUUUCUAGGACUGAAGUAAUGAUUGAUAGGGACAGUUGGGGGUGCUAGUAUUCCGCGGCCAGAGGUGAAAUUCUUGGAUUCGCGGAAGACUAACUACUGCGAAAGCAUU
rnacentral:rRNA from 2 species